GAUGAACGCUGGCGGCGUGCCUAAUACAUGCACGUCGAGCGAACAGAUGAGGAGCUUGCUUCUCUGACGUUAGCGGCGGACGGGUGAGUAACACGUGGAUAACCUACCUAUAAGACUGGGAUAACUUCGGGAAACCGGAGCUAAUACCGGAUAAUAUAUUGAACCGCCUGGUUCAAUAGUGAAAGACGGUUUUGCUGUCACUUAUAGAUGGAUCCGCGCCGCAUUAGCUAGUCGGUAAGGUAACGGAUUACCAAGGCAACGAUGCGUAUCCGACCUGAGAGGGUGAUCGGCCACACUGGAACUGAGACACGGUCCAGACUCCUACGGGAGGCAGCAGUAGGGAAUCUUCCGCAAUGGGCGAAAGCCUGACGGAGCAACGCCGCGUGAGUGAUGAAGGUCUGCGGAUCGUAAAACUCUGUUAUUAGGGAAGAACAUAUGUGUAAGUAACUGUGCACGUCUUGACGGUACCUAAUCAGAAAGCCACGGCUAACUACGUG
rnacentral:rRNA from 1 species